rnacentral:rRNA from 1 species
UCGCUACUACCGAUUGAAUGGUUUAGUGAGGUUUGCGGAAUGCGUCUCUCAGUUGGGUUUCCUUCUGCUUGUACGCGUGAAGCAACACAAACUUGACCAUUUAGAGGAAGUAA